rnacentral:rRNA from 1 species
GCGUACGGGUGCGGAACACGUGUGCAACCUGCCUUUAUCAGGGGGAUAGCCUUUCGAAAGGAAGAUUAAUACCCCAUAAUAUAUUGAGUGGCAUCACUUGAUAUUGAAAACUCCGGUGGAUAGAGAUGGGCACGCGCAAGAUUAGAUAGUUGGUGAGGUAACGGCUCACCAAGUCUGCGAUCUUUAGGGGGCCUGAGAGGGUGAUCCCCCACACUGGUACUGAGACACGGACCAGACUCCUACGGGAGGCAGCAGUGAGGAAUAUUGGACAAUGGGUGCGAGCCUGAUCCAGCCAUCCCGCGUGAAGGAUGACGGCCCUAUGGGUUGUAAACUUCUUUUGUAUAGGGAUAAACCUACCCUCGUGAGGGUAGCUGAAGGUACUAUACGAAUAAGCACCGGCUAACUCCGUGCCAGCAGCCGCGGUAAUACGGAGGGUGCAAGCGUUAUCCGGAUUUAUUGGGUUUAAAGGGUCCGUAGGCGGAUCUGUAAGUCAGUGGUGAAAUCUCACAGCUUAACUGUGAAACUGCCAUUGAUACUGCAGGUCUUGAGUGUUGUUGAAGUAGCUGGAAUAAGUAGUGUAGCGGUGAAAUGCAUAGAUAUUACUUAGAACACCAAUUGCGAAGGCAGGUUACUAAGCAACAACUGACGCUGAUGGACGAAAGCGUGGGGAGCGAACAGGAUUAGAUACCCUGGUAGUCCACGCCGUAAACGAUGCUAACUCGUUUUUGGUAUUUCGGUAUCAGAGACUAAGCGAAAGUGAUAAGUUAGCCACCUGGGGAGUACGAACGCAAGUUUGAAACUCAAAGGAAUUGACGGGGGCCCGCACAAGCGGUGGAUUAUGUGGUUUAAUUCGAUGAUACGCGAGGAACCUUACCAAGGCUUAAAUGGGAAAUGACAGGCUUAGAAAUAGGCUUUUCUUCGGACAUUUUUCAAGGUGCUGCAUGGUUGUCGUCAGCUCGUGCCGUGAGGUGUUAGGUUAAGUCCUGCAACGAGCGCAACCCCUGUCACUAGUUGCCAUCAUUAAGUUGGGGACUCUAGUGAGACUGCCUACGCAAGUAGAGAGGAAGGUGGGGAUGACGUCAAAUCAUCACGGCCCUUACGCCUUGGGCCACACACGUAAUACAAUGGCCGGUACAGAGGGCAGCUACACAGCGAAGUGAUGCAAAUCUCGAAAGCCGGUCUCAGUUCGGAUUGGAGUCUGCAACUCGACUCUAUGAAGCUGGAAUCGCUAGUAAUCGCGCAUCAGCCAUGGCGCGGUGAAUACGUUCCCGGGCCUUGUACACACCGCCCGUCAAGCCAUGGAAGUCUGGGGUACCUGAAGUCGGUGACCGUAACAGGAG